rnacentral:rRNA from 1 species
CGAAAUCCUGUGGCGAGAGGAUUCAGUCUGGGGCGCAGGUCGUGCAGAUCGGAAAAAUCAGGUAGGGCUUCCCCGAGCGGGGGCCGUCCGGUCGCACGCAGCGCCUGCGCACCCGACGCAUUUGUCUCUCGUCCGAAGGACGCCGCAGCCGGCUGGGUAGUGCAAGCGCGACGACCUGAGGGGCGGAAGAUGGCAGGUGGCCGCUGGCGUGCCUCGUGCGCGUCGGCGGUUGUUAGCCGUUCCGUCAGUGGUCCGUCACCCGGCCGAGGUGUCGCUAGGCCCUUCGGGGCCUCAUCGCCUCCUCCUCGGAGACGCGGGUCAGAGCGUCGCAGGUGGAAUCCGUCGUCCCGUUCGCACCCCUCCGGGGUGGUCGGGCGAACGGAGGCCUCCGUUGGUGGCGCCGGACCCGUUGGAGGCCGGAGGCUUGCGGCGAGUAGGUCGGUCACCCACCCGACCCGUCUUGAAACACGGACCAAGGAGUCUAACAUGUGCGCGAGUCAAUGGGUCUUGAAUAGGCCCAGGGGCACAAUAAAGCAAAGGACGGGCUCAGCGCCGUCGAGUUGGAUCCCCGUUUCGGGCGGGGCGCACAACAACCGUCUAUUCGGUCGCGAUUGGGCGAGUUUAGCGUAACGUUGGACCGAAAAUGUGA